rnacentral:rRNA from 1 species
UACGGGAGGCAGCAGUGGGGAAUAUUGCACAAUGGGCGCAAGCCUGAUGCAGCCAUGCCGCGUGUAUGAAGAAGGCCUUCGGGUUGUAAAGUACUUUCAGUCGUGAGGAAGGUGUUAAGGUUAAUAACCUUAGCAAUUGACGUUAGCGACAGAAGAAGCACCGGCUAACUCCGUGCCAGCAGCCGCGGUAAUACGGAGGGUGCGAGCGUUAAUCGGAAUUACUGGGCGUAAAAGGGCACGCAGGCGGUUAAUUAAGUUGGAUGUGAAAAUCCCCCGGGCUUAACCUGGGAAUGGCAUUCAAGACUGGUUAGCUAGAGUCUUGUAGAGGGGGUAGAAUUCCAUGUGUAACGGUGAAAUGCGUAGAGAUGUGGAGGAAAUACCGGUGGCGAAAGGCGGCCCCCUGGACAAAGACUGACGCUCAUGUGCGAAAGCGUGGGGAGCAAAAC